GUUCUUCUUUCUGAGAUGAUCAUAUUUUAAUUCUGCUCAUGUUUGUUUUGACAGGAAUACACAGUCAGAGUGGAACAGAGGGGAGAGACGUCAUCCUGGCCUGUGGAAAUGAGGGUAAAGUGACCUGGGAAAAAGGCACUGAUGAAAGAAGAUCUACCAUCCUCACAGCUGAAGAUGGAGAAAUCACCCAGAGACUCAGGCCUGAUCCAGAAAACAGAUACAGUGUAUUACCUGAUUUAUCACUGGUGAUAAGGAGCGUUUCUCUCUCUGACUCUGGGAUUUAUUACUGUAACGCUGCUCCUGCAGUGAAUCUGACUGUGAAUCCUGCUCCACCAACAGAUCUGAGCUCUUCCACUGCUCCUCCUGGUGUGACCUGCUGUUCUUCACUGAGCUCCAGUAAAACUCACAGGGCAAGAAGCAGAAUGAAUGAACUCCCAACACCUGCACUCAAAUCUACAAAAGCUUCAGAAAAGAAAACACAGUCUACACAGACUGAGCGAGAGUCUGAAGAGUGGAGCAAGAGCAGGCUCUGGACAGCGCUCCUAGUCGUGGGAGGUGUGGUUCUGCUGCUGGCACUGGCUUCUCUUUCUACAAGAAAGGGGUUCUCAAAGAGGAAAGGUGAGGAGUGUCUGUGCUUUAGCUUCAGAUUACUGACCACUGCUGCCUGUAUGAAGUGCCGUAUUACCUCUGCCUCUUUCCAUGUUCUAACAGAGGACUGUGAGAUGCCGUAUGACGACGUCUACAGUACCAUUGAAUACGCCACCUCUAGUAAAGCGUAAAGAGGAGGAUAUCUGGAGACACUCUGAACACAGUGAAUCCACAGGCUGCUGAUAAUCACCGGCGUGAUUCAGUGCACAAGUGAUCGCUGACUGUUUUAGACUUAUUUGAGGUUUAAACUUACUCUAAGCAUCAUCCAGACCCAGCACCCGCACAAAAGAGUUAUUUUGGUUGUUUAUUUUUCUUUUUUUUUUUGACUAUUUACAGGAACUAUUUAAGAGCUUGAUCAUUUGUACAACAUAUUUUGGUUGAUUUGUUUUGUAUGAGCAACAUGAGCCUCACCAGUGAAAAAAUAGGGCUCGUAAAAUGAGUUCAUCUCCAUUAAUCUGGAAUCAUAUAUAACAUAUAUAUAUAUAUAUAUAUAUAAGUUAUGUAUACAGACAUCACUUAACAUAGAUCUUCAUAAUGGAGCACAAACCAUGAACUCAUCACCACUGCACAGGUCCUGACCUACGUUUGAGCCACAACACCUGCUGGUUUGCUUAUUCAGGCUCUUAGAUUCACUUGCUCUUCAUUUCUUGGCCACUUCUAAUCUUUUAUUAAAUGCAGCAAAACCUAAACCCAAUUUGAUUUUCCUCAAUUUCCCAACUUCUUUUUAUCCCACACAGCUAAUAUUUCCCUGUCUUGUUUAAACAUUACAGUGGCGUUUCACUGAACUGUUUGUCUAGGUAUUUUCUGUAGUCCGGUGCUGAAACAGACCAAGUACCUAAACAGUGAUUCAGUAUUCAAAUGGUACUUUGACGCUUAGCAGAGUAGCCCAGUACCCAUGCACCCCCCCAAAUUAGGUCCAAAAAAGGGAAUCGGGAACUCCGGGCGCAGUGGGCAGUGGGCAGUCUACCUCUAGAUAGAUACGUUUGCUAACAGCUUGGUUUUCCUUCCUUUGCUUGCUUUAGUUAAGUUCACUCACAGUCGUGUAUCUUUAUAAAAUGCUCAAGUACGACGGUUUUCAUUUUCAAAUCUUCUGUCAAUAUAUGAUCUCUGCAUGUUGAAAAUCUGAAAAAGGCCAUUACUUUUAAAGAUGUUACUAAAGGGGACUUCCAAUGAUUUUCCAGUGACUGCCAAACCGGAUAACUGAGAUGAUUCAGAGCGGUUUGGUGUGAAUUGGUUCACAUGUCUUUACAGUGGUGGUGAUGGGAACCAGGCGUCGCCAUGACUACAACACAGAUAUAGACUUAUAUUUGCUAAAUAUAUUUUAGCCCAAAACCAUCUCAAAACUAUCCUAGAACAAUUUGCUGUGCAUCAGGCAGUGAAUGCAUAACCAGUUCAUGUAGGAACUUUCUGUGAGGGAGCUUUUAGAGGGACGUCUGGUUCCUAUCACCACCACUGUGAACAGCUCUGACUCGGUAAGUUUCUCUAGAACAGAGAGUUUCACACCAAACUGCUCGGAACCGCUAAGAUCUGGACCCCAACAAAAUAAACCCUGGACUUCACUGCCUUCACUUCUUUUUUGCUUAUUUUCUUCAGGAUCAAUAAAGUAUCUAACUUCUGUGUACAAAAAUAUAUUUUUAUUAGGGACUUGCUGAAUUGUUGUAAUCCAGCUGUUGAAGUCAUUCAUGGUGAAAUCCAGCUGUUAAUGUGAUUUAUGUUGAAAUCCAGCUGUUAAAGUCAUUCAUGGUGAAAUCCAGCUGUUAAUGUGAUUUAUGUUGUAAUCCAGCUCUUAAGGUGACUUAUGUUGAAAUCCAGCUGUUAAGGUGACAUGUUGAAAUCCAGCUGUUAAAGUCACUCAUGUUGAAAUCAAGCUCUUAAGGUGACUUAUGUUGAAAUCCAGCUGUUAAAGUCAUUCAUGGUGAAAUCCAGCUGUUAAGGUGACUUAUGUUGAAAUCCAGCUGGUAAAGUGAUUUAUGUUGUAAUCCAGCUGUUAAGGUGAUUUAUGUUGUAAUCCAGCUGUUAAGGUGACUUAUGUUGAAAUCCUGCUGUUGCAGUGAUUUAUGUUGAAAUCCAGCUGUUAAGGUGAUUUAUUUUUACUAUGUUACUGCUCACUAUCUUCAAUGGACAUUCAUAAAGCAGCUUGUUCGAUUUAAACUCAAACCUGUGAUUAAAAUCUACUUUUUGAGACAACUGUGAACUUUAUUUGUACAUUCAGUUUAAGAAAUUCUC
ensembl:lncRNA